rnacentral:tRNA from 1 species
AGGUGUGUAGCUCAAUGGUAGAGUAGCGGUCUCCAAAACCGUUGGUUGCAGGUUCGAGUCCUGUCACGCCUGCCA